UACGAAGGGUGCAAACGUUGCUCGGAAUUAUUGGGCGUAAAGCGCACGUAGGCGGCUUUGCAAGUCGGAUGUGAAAGCCCUCGGCUCAACCAAGGAAGUGCAUCCGAAACUGCAGAGCUUGAGUACUUAAGAGGAUCGCGGAAUUCCCGGUGUAGAGGUGAAAUUCGUAGAUAUCGGGAGGAACACCAGUGGCGAAGGCGGCGAUCUGGGAAGAUACUGACGCUGAGGCGCGAAAGCCAGGGGAGCAAACGGG
rnacentral:rRNA from 1 species